UUGUUUCCAAUUCUUAAAAAAUUUAAUGAAAAACAAACAAAAAAAAAAACUAAACAACUUCAUUGAGAAUUAAAAAAAACAAAAAAACAAAUUGUCAGUAACAAGAAACAAAUUGAAAACAAUUGUUUCAAAAUUCAGCAAAAGUGAGAAAAAUGAUGUCCCCUUUCCCCCCAAAAGCUGAAAUAUGAUUGGAUCAGAGUAGAUAACUGCUAACAGAUUCAGUUCAAAAAUAAAAUAUCCAGGAGAAAGAAAACAAGUGGACAAAUUAACUGUAUCAACUAAGGUUGGAGAGGGGAGGUGAGGCAGAGUGUAAUAGGACAAUGAAGGUGCAAGGUGUGCAGGCAAUGCCAGUGGUCAAUAAAAGGACAUAUGGUAUGGACACCAACAGAGAAGAAACCAGUGUGUGGAAGAAUGGAAGAAAACAAAGGAGCAUCAUACAAUGGAUUGGAAGAUUGGUUCACUUGGUCAAGUCACAGAAGUUCACUGAAGACUUGGCCCCCAUGGCAACUAAGAUCUACACUGAAAAUAUUGCAGGAUCUAGGAAUAUCCAUUUGGGGUGGGGGUCAAGGAUUUAUCUAAAAGCACUAGUAGUGGACAUUUGAAAUCUUUGGGAAAAAAACAGCUCAUCCUUUCCAAUGUUUUCUUAUUAUGUUUAUAAGCUCUAAUUAUGACAUCAAUGAAGACAACAAAAAUGGUUAAGAACUAUUAUUCAAGAGGUUGCAUGUUUGACAAAAUGUUUAAACUCAAUCUGCAAUAAAGGUCUCCCUUCAAACAACAUUUUCAAAAUCAACAAUCGAAAUUUUUCUUGCUUUGUAAGAGAAACACAGGAGAAAUGAGAUGAAGGUGUCAAACAAACAAAUCCGUGAUCGCAGUCGACUGUACACAAUACUUACAUGAAUAUAAUGCCAGAAGAUAGGACAGUUAGAAAAAAAACAAACAAGAGUUCAAUAAAUAGCUAUUACAAAGAAAAGGUCACUCUAAUCAUUUGAUGACUACUAAAGUCUCUACUUUCAGCUAUCAUAAAAUUGUGACAUUCAACACUACAAUGUGCAGGAGUCAAACACUGAACAAAAUACAACUUAUUACCAGUGGCUGAGACAUCCACCACUACAUCAUCUAUCAGUUUAGAACUGGAGCAGACACACUAUGGAAGAAAAUAAUAUGGUCCAUAGAAUCAGGCUAGUUGAACUGAAAUCCAGGAGACCACAAAAAAAAAAAAAAAAC